CUGUGGAGCAGCAGAAGCGAGCUCUCGAGCUUCGGAACAUGGUAAAUGGUGGCGAAGAAUCCCUUGAAGAAACCAGAACAGAUGGUGCUUCUUUCAACCCUGCAGCAGCUGGUGGAUGCUGCCAAGGCAAUGGUGGCUUCACCUGCUGCCAAACUGACCUGCCAAAGGAAAAACAAGACAAGAGCAUCAUAGCUGAGCAGAACCCCAAGAGCUCUGACAAGGAGGGUGGUGCUGGCAGCAAGAAGGGGGAUACAAAGACUUGCCCAGUGCCCAUCUGGUUUGAGACCUGGGAGAGAGCUGACACAUAUGCCGCUCUUGCUGUUGUUGCAGCUGC
rnacentral:lncRNA from 1 species